rnacentral:rRNA from 1 species
AGAGUUUGAUCCAGGCUCAGGACUAACGCUGACGGUGUGCCUAAUACAUGCCAGUCGAACGAGUAGUAUGUUGGUGGCAACACUUUUAUACUGCUAGUGGCGAACGGGUGAGUAACGCGUGGGUAAUCUGCCUUAAAGACUGGGAUAACUCCUCGAAAGAGGUGCUAAUACCGGAUGGUCUAUAUUGAUCUCAUGAUUUAUAUAGUAAAGGUAGCCGCAAGGCCUCUGCUUUAAGAUGAGCUCGCGUCCUAUUAGCUAGUUGGUGGGGUAAUGGCCUACCAAGGCAAUGAUGGGUAGCCGGUCUGAGAGGAUGGUCGGCCACACUGGGACUGAGAUACGGCCCAGACUCCUACGGGAGGCAGCAGUAGGGAAUAUUGCGCAAUGGGCGAAAGCCUGACGCAGCGACACCGUGUGAAGGAUGAAGGUCUUCGGAUCGUAAACUUCUGUCAAUUGGGGACGAAGGUAGUAAGGUUAAUAGCCUUUACUACUGACGGUACCUAAAAAGGAAGUCUCGGCUAACUCCGUGCCAGCAGCCGCGGUAAGACGGGGGAGGCAAGCGUUGUCCGGAAUUAUUGGGCGUAAAGAGCUCGUAGGUGGUACAUUAAGUCCUUUGUGAAAACUUUAGGCUUAACUUAAAGAAUGCAAGUGAUACUGGUAUACUUGAGCACAGUAGAGGAAAAUGGAAUUCCUGGUGUAGCGGUGAAAUGCGCAGAUAUCAGGAAGAACACCAGUGGCGAAGGCGGUUUUCUGGGCUGUUGCUGACACUGAGGAGCGAAAGCUAGGGGAGCGAACAGGAUUAGAUACCCUGGUAGUCUUAGCUGUAAACGAUGGACACUAGGU